rnacentral:rRNA from 1 species
GAUGAACGCUGGCGGCGUGCCUAAUACAUGCAAGUCGAGCGAACAGACGAGGAGCUUGCUCCUCUGACGUUAGCGGCGGACGGGUGAGUAACACGUGGAUAACCUACCUAUAAGACUGGGAUAACUUCGGGAAACCGGAGCUAAUACCGGAUAAUAUAUUGAACCGCAUGGUUCAAUAGUGAAAGACGGUUUUGCUGUCACUUAUAGAUGGAUCCGCGCCGCAUUAGCUAGUUGGUAAGGUAACGGCUUACCAAGGCAACGAUGCGUAGCCGACCUGAGAGGGUGAUCGGCCACACUGGAACUGAGACACGGUCCAGACUCCUACGGGAGGCAGCAGUAGGGAAUCUGCCGCAAUGGGCGAAAGCUUUACGGAGCAACGCCGCGUGAGUGAUGAAGGUCUUCGGAUCGUAAAACUCUGUUAUUAGGGAAGAACAAAUGUGUAAGUAACUAUGCACGUCUUGACGGUACCUAAUCAGAAAGCCACGGCUAACUACGUG